GGCACGGUAGCCGAGUGGGUAAAGGCGCUUAUAGUUAUUUACUCGGUAUCGAAGAUCGAUGGUUCGAUUCCAUCCUGGAGCAAGUUA
rnacentral:tRNA from 1 species